rnacentral:rRNA from 1 species
AGCGAACGUUAGCGGCGGGCCUAACACAUGCAAGUCGAGCGAGAAAGGGGCUUCGGCCCCGAGUAAAGCGGCGGACGGGUGAGGAACACGUAGGUAACCUGCCCUUCAGUGGAGGACAACGGUCCGAAAGGACCGCUAAUACUGCGUAAGUUCCCCGGGAUUCCGAUCCUGGGGAGGAAAGCCCCGCAAGGGGCGCUGAAGGAGGGGCCUGCGUCGCAUCAGCUAGUUGGUGGGUAACGGCCUACCAAGGCGAAGACGCGAGCUGGUCUGAGAGGAUGAUCAGCCACACUGGGACUGAGACACGGCCCAGACUCC